AACAAGGAGAUCUGGCCUAUGUCAGUGCCUUGCCUUGGGAAAGAUAGAUCAAGGAAAGUUUUGUAGUCUAGUCAGGAGCAACAGCUGGACUCAGAGUGGACUCUGCACCGUAGUCCGACAGAGGCUGCAGGCCCCCGACCCACUGCACCAGAUUCCGUGUUCUGCUCUCAUUCUCAUUGCUCGCUCGCUCCCGGACCUUUACAGCAACAACUGGGCCCAACGUGGGGCUGGAGCAAAAAUGAAAACACAGCGACCUGGGUCGGUUGAGACGCCUCUGAAAAUUCCUGCUGAAAUUAAAAACAUCUGGGUUCUGAACAGCCUCAUCAAGGUAAAAAAAAAAAAAA